GAUGAACGCUGGCGGCGUGCCUAAUACAUGCAAGUCGAGCGAACAGACGAGGAGCUUGCUCCUCUGACGUUAGCGGCGGACGGGUGAGUAACACGUGGAUAACCUACCUAUAAGACUGGGAUAACUUCGGGAAACCGGAGCUAAUACCGGAUAAUAUAUUGAACCGCAUGGUUCAAUAGUGAAAGACGGUUUUGCUGUCACUUAUCGAUGGAUCCGCGCCGCAUUAGCUAGUUGGUAAGGUAACGGCUUAACAAGGCAACGAUGCGUAGCCGACCUGAGAGGGUGAUCGGCCACCCGGGAACUGAGACACGGUCCAGACGCCUACGGGAGGCAGCAGUAGGGAAUCUUCCGCAAUGGGCGAAAGCCUGACGGAGCAACGCCGCGUGAGUGAUGAAGGUCUUCGGAUCGUAAAACUCUGUUAUUAGGGAAGAACAAAUGUGUAAGUAACUAUGCACGUCUUGACGGUACCUAAUCAGAAAGCCACGGCUAACUACGUG
rnacentral:rRNA from 1 species